AAGAAGAUAAGACAUAAGAAUAGCUUCUAACUAAUUCUUAAAGCGGUUUAAUUCCGUUUACUUCUUA
rnacentral:tRNA from 1 species